rnacentral:ribozyme from 1 species
GGAAGAGCAUGCUCUGUAAUGGGAUGGGAUCCGAAGCCCCUUUGAGGGAUAAUACACGCUCUCCCAUCCAACUCCUAUUCCGACACGUCCUCGUCGUGCAGAGUGGUAACAUGUGCC